rnacentral:rRNA from 1 species
UACGGGGGGAGCAAGCGUUGUUCGGAUUUACUGGGCGUAAAGGGCGCGUAGGCGGCCAGCCGAAGUCAGUUGUGAAAUCUCCGAGCUUAACUCGGAAAGGUCAACUGAUACUGUGCGGCUAGAGUGCGGAAGGGGCAACUGGAAUUCUUGGUGUAGCGGUGAAAUGCGUAGAUAUCAAGAGGAACACCUGCGGCGAAGGCGGGUUGCUGGGCCGACACUGACGCUGAGGCGCGAAAGCAUGGGGAGCGAACAGG